rnacentral:rRNA from 1 species
CCUACGGGAGGCAGCAGUGGGGAAUAUUGGGCAAUGGGCGCAAGCCUGACCCAGCAACGCCGCGUGAAGGAAGAAGGCUUUCGGGUUGUAAACUUCUUUUCACAGGGACGAAGCAAGUGACGGUCCCUGAGGAUUAAGCCACGCCUACUGACGUGCCAGCAGCCGCGGUAAUACGUAGGUGGCAAGCGUUAUCCGGAUUUACUGGGUGUAAAGGGCGUGUAGGCGGGACUGCAAGUCAGAUGUGAAAACCACGGGCUCAACCUGUGGCCUGCAGUUGAAACUGUAGUUCUUGAGUACUGGAGAGGCAGACGGAAUUCCUGGUGUAGCGGUGAAAUGCGUAGAUAUUAGGAAGAACACCAGUGGCGAAGGCGGUCUGCUGGACAGCAACUGACGCUGAGGCGCGAAAGCGUGGGGAGCAAACAGGAUUAGAUACCCUGGUAGUC